ensembl:snRNA U6 U6 spliceosomal RNA
GUGCUUACUUUGGCCUCAUAUAUAGUGAAAUUGGAACAAUAUAGAGAUUAGCAUGGCCCUGUGCAAGGAUGACACACAAAUUUGUGAAGUGUUUCAUAUUUAA